UACGGAGGAUGCAAGCGUUAUCCGGAAUGACUGGGCGUAAAGCGUCCGCAGGUGGCUGUGUAAGUCUGCUGUCAAAGAGCGAAGCUCAACUUCGUAAAGGCAGUGGAAACUACACGGCUAGAGUGCGUUCGGGGCAGAGGGAAUUCCUGGUGUAGCGGUGAAAUGCGUAGAGAUCAGGAAGAACACCGGUGGCGAAGGCGCUCUGCUAGGCCGCAACUGACACUGAGGGACGAAAGCUAGGGGAGCGAAUGGG
rnacentral:rRNA from 1 species